rnacentral:tRNA from 1 species
AAAGCCUUAAGUUAAAAAAACUAUUAACCUUCAAAGUUAAAAAUAAAAAUUUUAGAUG